UUUUCUAAGACCUCUUCUCAUCCCGAAAACCACUCAGCGAGUGGGUUAUUUUCAGGAGCUCAUUCAACUCCUUCUUUGGUAUCCACGUAACUUAUGUAACUCAUGGCUUUCAAUUAACAAUUGAAGUGGGCGAGCAAGAGCACAAAAGGAAACAUGUCUACGUGCAACUGGCCUUUCUUCAACUGCAUGGUUUAGAUGUCCGUGAUUUAUUUUCCACAAUUAGCGGCUGGCCUUCUCCCAACUUCUCUCUCAGUUCUGAUGGUAGGACCUGCUGCUGGCUGGGCACGGCAGCCUGGCGAAGCUGUCUGAGGGCGCCCUUUCCUCUGCUGGGAUCACCGAAACGUUCGGGCCUCUUGGUUACUGGACUGCCCAGGGCUAAUUAUAAAGCUCUCCAGGGAGAGAGGUGGGGUCCGGGCCCGCAGGCAGGCUGAGGAGGAAAGGCUCAGAAGUGCCGGUGCUUUUGCGGGACUUUGCUGUACUCUUCGGCUUUAGGCAAGUUAUUCCACCUCUGGGGCCUCAAUUUUCUCAUCUGUUAAAUGGGAGCGAGCAAUGGGGUUAGGUGGUCCCUAGAGUCCCCUGUGCCUGGACUUUGAUGCUCUUGCCUGCUUCCUUUCCCACCCCCACCCUGGGUUCUCCCAACACCCUGUCGUGGUGACGGUGGGUGCGUUAAUCACAACCUUGGUCGGCAAUCGAUGCAAUCAACAAGCGUGCCACCAGGCAGCCUUGUGCGGUGGCCGAAGGGCUGCUGCCCGCAUUUUUUUUCCCAGCCUUAGGCUGGCACUCUGAUGCCUGAGGAUGGUGUGGGUCCACAGCCCAGGGAGGCUGUCGGGUCACAUUUCCUGGAACCCUGAGCCAGCUUCUGGACUCCACCCUAAAGGAGCGCACCCCCCCCCCCCCCCCCCCCCCCCGGCACAGUGAGCUGAGCACGUACAGGGGGCUGGAGACACGUGAAUGCCACGACCAUCAGAUAUGUACUGAACCAUGUCCUGGGCUGGGCAGGGGGAUGACUUAGAUGAGCGGGUGGAUGUGGCUCAGUUCUUCAUGAUAUUUAGAGGCAUGUACGUGGGCUCUCAUGUCAGUCUCCAGGUUCAAAUCUUGGUCUCAUGCUGCCUUGGGCAAGAUACGGGGCAUAUAUCUUGGUUCGUCCACCUGGAAAAUGGGAAUGUUAAUAGAAGUACACCAACAGGUAAGGAUUGGAUGAGUCGGUCAAUAUAAAGUGUUUAGAGCCCAGGGUGUGAUUAUUACAACUUUUGUUUCCUGAGCACCAACUCUGUGCCAGGAAGUGUCAUGACAUGUGGUGUAAACCAGAUCCCUUACAGGGCAGGAGAGAGAUCAGUUCUGGCUUGGCUGAGGAAAGAGGCCUCAGGCAAGAGUUGGUACCACAGUUCGGUCUUGAAGGAUAGAGCUAAAUACAGAAAUGACACUGGGCAAGGGCAUUCCGCGAGGAGGGGACAGCAUGAACAAAAGCAUGGAGGCAGAUUACAAAGCCCAUGGGGAGUGUUUUCAAGGGCACACCUUGGCUGACAACCCGGAGAGGAUCCCACCUGCUUGGCUGACACGCCCUCCCCUUCCACGCUGGGGGCUUCCUGCUCUGAUGUUCAUUUUCCAGGUCCUGGAGUUCCCCAGCAGAGCCUGGGGGUGAGGAAGGAAAUCGUAGAGCCCUGGCUUCCUGAGCCCUGCCCACGCCCCCUUGAGCAGACCAAGUUCAUCUACCUUUCUAGGGGAUCCAGCCCAGGGCACGCCGCUUGGCACAGCCUAGGUAGCAUAUGUUGGCUCCGUCUGCCAGGGCCUCACUGUUCAGGGGAGUCUAGGAGCCCUCGGGGGACCAAUAGUGAAGGCACUGAAACAUGCACAUCAUAAUAUAAAUCCAAGAGCAGCCCCAGCA